UUUUACGUCAUCUAGCGGUAAAUUAAAGCGUUACUAAACCGAGCUAUGAUCGGCUCACUAAAUACAAUAUUGUGUCUUUACCAGUAAGAACACGAUCGUAGACGAGUGACGACGAAAUUUUAAAACAACAGUGCUAUUAUUUGUAUAAACACGGCUGCAAGUCACAAAAAAGCAAUUCAUCCAAUACUCGAUCCGAUACUCGAGAAGAAAAUCUUAUUGUACAAGGUCCUAGCAGUAGAACAAGAUCCCAUUCAACUAGCUCAGAAUCAUCUUCGAGUUCAUCAUCAAUAAGUUCAAGUUCAUCAUCUUCAUCUAGUUCAUCUGAAUCGGAUCAAUAAUUGUAAGCGCCGUGUAUGUAAAACUUUCUUUAAAAACACAUUGGCUAUUAGUAAUCGACCUAUCGUAACUGUUAUAUCAAAAAAAAAACAAUCGGGAACGGUUGACGAAGAACUAAGGGGUAAACAUGGGAAACACAACAAAGUCAGCUUAGAUAUCAUUAAAAGCAUAAAAAAGCAUAUAGACUCAAUCCCAAGGAUAUAUCCCAAGGAUAUAUACUGAUUGAUAUUAUUAUUCCAAGUGAUUGUCAGGAUCUCUCUUUAUUUUGUAAUAAAACAUUAUUAAUUAAA